rnacentral:rRNA from 1 species
AUUGAACGCUGGCGGCAGGCCUAACACAUGCAAGUCGAGCGGUAGCACAGAGAGCUUGCUCUCGGGUGACGAGCGGCGGACGGGUGAGUAAUGUCUGGGAAACUGCCUGAUGGAGGGAGAUAACUACUGGAAACGGUAGCUAAUACCGCAUAACGUCGCAAGACCAAAGUGGGGGACCUUCGGGCCUCAUGCCAUCAGAUGUGCCCAGAUGGGAUUAGCUAGUAGGUGGGGUAACGGCUCACCUAGGCGACGAUCCCUAGCUGGUCUGAGAGGAUGACCAGCCACACUGGAACUGAGACACGGUCCAGACUCCUACGGGAGGCAGCAGUGGGGAAUAUUGCACAAUGGGCGCAAGCCUGAUGCAGCCAUGCCGCGUGUGUGAAGAAGGCCUUCGGGUUGUAAAGCACUUUCAGCGGGGAGGAAGGCGGUGAGGUUAAUAACCUCAUCGAUUGACGUUACCCGCAGAAGAAGCACCGGCUAACUCCGUGCCAGCCGCCGCGGUAACAC